rnacentral:lncRNA from 1 species
GAUCCCAAGGAUUCUGUGGACUCGCCAGAUUCGACUCCCCUUCUGCCAUUCCAAGACAAGCUAUUGGAAAAAGUACUUGCCCUGGUAGAAUCCCACAAAGAUCGAAAUUCAGUUUCACUGGUCUGCAAAGACUUGUACAAUGCUGAGAGGUUGAGCAGGACCCGGGUUUUCAUCGGAAACUGCUACUCGGUCUCCCCGGAGAUUGUGGCUAGGCGAUUUCCGAAUAUUAGGAGUGUAACCUUAAAGGGGAAACCAAGAUUUUCAGACUUCAAUUUGGUGCCACAAAAUUGGGGAGCUGAUAUUCAUUCAUGGCUCAUAGUGUUUGCAGAAGUUUACCCAGUUUUGGAGGAGUUAAGGUUGAAGAGAAUGUAUGUGAGUGAUGAAAGUUUGGAGCUUAUAGCAAAUUCGUUUUCAGGUUUUAAAGCUUUAUCUCUCUUGAGCUGUGACGGUUUUAGUACUGAUGGUCUCAAGGCUAUUGCAACCCAUUGCAAGUAAGAAUUUUGAAUGCUUUAUAAUGUUUUAACUAAAUUAAGUUCCGCAUAUGUAUGUAAAGUUUUUAAAUUUAAUUGUCCUUUCAUCGAAUUUAUAGCUUCUAUUACUAAAUUUGUUCAACAUGGGUUUCUUUAGAAUGAGGACUGAUAAGAUAAUUAUAGCAAAUUGAUAACAAUUGCAUUUCACCUUGAGAGAACAAAAAAGUGUCCCAAUUUAGAGCGAGAGGCAUUUGGUUACCAGUUAGGUGCAUUUACCGUUCUUGAUUUUGUAAUUCAGUAACCAUUUGACAUUUUUAAAAAGCAACUUUCUUUGUUGUCAUGCUAUUUUUUGCUUUUGCUUGUAUCUAAGUUACUAUUUCUUUUGCAGGAACUUGACUGAGCUUGACCUACAGGAAAAUGACAUGGAUGAUCUUGGUGGGGAUUGGUUAAGUUGCUUUCCUGAGGACUUCAAGUCUCUUGAAGUGCUGAACUUUGCCAGCCUGAGCAGUGAUGUCAGUUUUGAUGCCCUUGAGGGGCUAGUUGAAAGGUGCAAAUCAUUAAGGGUUUUGAACAUUAAUAAAAGUAUCACUUUGGAACAAUUACAAAGGCUACUUUUAACGGCUCCCCAAUUGAUGGCGCUUGGUACUGGCUCUUUCCAACAAGAGCUCGUACCUCACCAGUUUACAGAGCUUGAAAGUGCAUUCAACAACUGCAAAAAUCUACACACGCUCUCCGGUUUGUGGGAAGCUUCAAAUUCCCUCUACCUCCCAGUUCUAUACCCGGCAUGUGCCAUUUUGACUUUCUUGAAUUUGAGCUAUACAACUCUGCAAAUUGGUGAAUUUGCUAAGCUUCUUGUCCACUGCUCCAAUUUACGGCGCCUCUGGGUAAGAAACUAACCCCAUACGACUUUCCCUUGCCCAAUUAUUUUUAGUAGAAGUUCUUUCACAUAUUUUAAAUUAGUACGAAGAAGACAAACCACUUCACUUGGUUGUUGGCUGUGAAUUAAACCUUUCAUUCAUGGAUUAUAUAGAAGGUAAUGGCCACAUUGUCAACCUGAACAUUUCAAUGUGUAUCACAGGAAUACAUAGUUUGUUUGAUGAAGAAAUUAAAUUAGCAUUUUUAUCACUACUUCAUUGAUAGUGAGAAUCUAUGGUUAUGAACACUGUAUCUUGCCUGUGAGCUCUAUAGGAAUAAGCAUUUAAGGCAUCGAUGCCUGGAGUUCUUAUUUACUGUUAGCUUUGCCAAAUUUGGUUGCAGCUAUUUCUACUGCUAUUUAAUAACCUUUCAGCUGUUCUCUUGCACUACUAUUCUACGACCUGCCCAUGUUGCUAAUGUUGCUAGAAGUGAAGAACUAAUAAUGGUAAUAAAACCAUUUUAGGCAAAACCUUGUAAAAUGUUCAAAAUGUACGUAAAUGUGCAAAUGUAAAUAAAAAUGAAAAUAUAAAAUGAUUUUUCAAUGGACUGCUCUAAAUAGUUAUAUAGUUAGAAUUUGGAGUUUUUAACUAGUAAUUUACUUUCUCAUAAAGGUCCAGGACACGGUGGAAGAUACCGGGCUAGAAGCUGUUGGAUAUAGCUGUCCCUUGCUUGAGGAACUACGAGUCUUCCCUGCAUCUCCUUUUGAUCAUGGGGUGACCGAGUCAGGUUUUGUGGCUGUAUCCAAUGGAUGCCCCAGACUUCGUUAUGUUCUUUACUUUUGCAGUCAGAUGACCAAUGCUGCCAUUGCCACUAUUGUGCAAAACUGUCCUGAUUUUACCCACUUCCGCCUAUGCAUAAUGAAUCCAUGCCAGCCAGAUAAUCUAACAGAUGAGCCAAUGGAUGAGGCAUUUGGUGCAGUGGUAAAGACUUGCACUAAUCUCCAAAGACUUUCUGUAUCAGGCCUAUUAACAGACCUGGCUUUUGAGUAUAUUGGCAAGUAUGCCAAAAAUCUGGAAACCCUUUCCGUGGCUUUUGCUGGCAGCAGUGAUUUGGGAAUGCAGUACGUGCUAAAGGGUUGCCCUAAGCUUAGGAAGCUUGAGAUAAGAGAUUGCCCAUUUGGGGAUGCAGCAUUACUAUCAGGCUUGGAGAAGUAUGAAUCUAUGCGGUCUCUCUGGAUGUCUGGUAGCAACUUGACGAUGAACGGUUGCAGACUACUAGCGAAGGAAAAACCAAGGUUGAAUGUUGAGGUGAUCAAGGAAGAUGGGAGUGAUGACGACGAGGAGGCUGAUAAAGUUUAUGUUUAUCGGUCUGUAGCAGGGCGUAGAAGAGAUGCACCUCCUUUCGUUUUCACUCUCUGAACCUUGAAAAGGAAUUUCUGGUUAGCUCUCUCUCUCUCUCUAUCUCCCUCUCCGUUUCUCUAUUUUGUCUCGCAAACAUUUGAAUCUAACAACUGCAUGGUACUAAAAUUUGCUGAAGUACAUUCACUUAUAAACCUUUCAAAUAUCUUUUGGAAGCUCUCAAAGUCGUGAUAUUCAGCCCCAAAAUUUCCUAACCUUCCCCUUGUACCAUGAAAGACCAUUGUUGAUAGUGUCAAAUUAUGUUAUUCAGGAUACUCUCGUACUUGAACAUACUUCCUGGUAACUCAAUAUCAGGCCAGAUACGAUUAUGUUAUAUGUGUCUCGAAUUCUUGUUCAGGAUCCGACUUCACAACUUGUAUGAUAUAGUCUUCUGCCUCUAGCCUGUGGUUUUUCCCCAUUUGGAUUUCCCAUGUUAAUCUUGUGUUACUCUUUAAUUUCCCUUGUUGAUUUCUAUGUUUGUCAUAGUUUGUUCUGACAGAUUAUACUCUUCAUUCCUCAAAAAGAUUCCCAAAUUGACUUUGAUCCUAGUUACUUUGCAAAAUCCUAAAAUUGAGAUUGUGACUUGAAUUCAAGUACUUUUUUAACUUUGGAAAUAACAAAUUUGUACUUGGUGGUAAUGCUUUUAUGGAGUAAGUAACUCGCAUUUCAUCUACUGAACUUGUAAUGCAUAGGCAUGUACUAAAAACAUGAUCUUGGUCUGGUUGUUAUCCCUGUUUAGCAUAAUAAAGUUUAUAUAUAAUAACCACCUUGUAGGUCUACAAUGGUGAAUUAACCAUCCGUACAAGUUUGUACAAUUGAAUGUAGUGAGUGGUGGAAAGAAUGACAAUGAGACUGUAGACUUGGGAAUUUGUCUUGCACUACUGCUCCUCUUGUUUACCCUACCCUGAAAGAAUAAUAAUAAUAAAGAGGGAGAAAGAAGCUUAUUCCAUUGCAGCCUGGACUGAAGGUCGAUGAAACAAUAUUAUGGUGCCAUGGCUCUGAAUUAUAAGGGGGGCCUUGGCUCCCGGAGGCUGCUGAAAGAUGGUGAAUAAGUUACCUCUUGUUCUUUUUUUUUACCUUUUAUGCAUAUUUUUGAAUGAUAUAUAAAAUGAAAGCAAAUGGAUCAGGGAAAGUAGUACUCCCUUCGUCCCUUAAUACAAGUUAUUUUACGAAAAUGUAUUAACUAAUAUUAAUUGUUUAAUUUUUAAUAUUACUCCAAAUAUUAAAUAUAAUUUUGGUUCUAAUAAAUAACACUCUUUUUUCAAUUCAAGGACAAUAUAAAUAAUUGAUAUUAUAUUUAAUGUUAUACAAUCAUUUCCUUAAUAAUUGUACAUAACUCUAAAACGACUUAUAUUAAGGGACGGAUGGAGUAUCAUUCAAUUAAUAAUUAAAAUCUAUGUGAAAUUUCAUCACUGUCCCUUUAUGAGAAGUUAGGUUGAAAAUUACUAAUACAAGAGAGAAAAUUUCUUGGAAUAUAUAUGUUGUUGUAUAAAUUAGACAAAUUGUUUACAAUAAUAUUCUUUUAUCUUGUACUUGUCAGUUUUCAAAAGGGUAUAGGAAAAGGUUAAGAGAAGGGACCUUCCUAGUACCUACACAAAAAGAUAUCCCCUAGUUUAAGGCAUUGAACAAAAUGGGCUCACAUGAUGGGGGGAGGAUGUGUCAUCUCAUCUCCAUGCCAACACAUAGGCUAUUGAAAUGAACCCUCUUUUUGGCCUAAUGAAAAGAGUGUCGUAUGUGGAGUGAUCCAAUUUGAAACCUUUGCUAAUUUUUCUCAUGAGGGUUGUUAAUCCCACAACUAUGUUAAAGCAAAUUUGGAUAGUGUUAACCCUACUUUUAUGGGUGAUCAUUUUAUUAAAGCAAAUUUGGAUUAUGUUAACCACAUUGUGUUCAACUUUAAUUUCUUUUAAAAAAGCAAUGACCGUUGGAAUGUUCGCAGUAGGAUAUUGUCGAAAUUCUGAAUAAUAGUAAUAGUAUUGCCUGAAUCGAAUGGAAGUCCACUAUCUCCUUAAGACGGUAUUCGCCCAUAUAUAUAUUGUAUAGAGUUACAGCAAAUUCGUCUUCCAAGAUAAGACAAACCCAUAAAUUAAUCUGUAUUAAAUAUUAUGUGUAGGAUAAUAUGUAAUUCAAAACUAUAAUUUGAGAGAGAAAAAAAUAAUUACACUAAAAUUCUUUUAAAGAAUUAUGUGAAAUGAACUGUUCUCCCAAAGGAGAGUUUUCUAAUCCAUUUAUAGGAUUCCAAAUAUAUUUCAAGAAAAAGGCCUAUCAGCGACCGCAUUCGGUCGUAGAUAACUAUCAGCGACCGAAUGCGGUCGCUGAUAGUCGUCGCAUAAAAUCUGGUCGCUGGGAUGCACAUCAGCGACCACUAUUAGUGACCGAUAUAUCUGCGACCGAUAUGAGCGAUCGAAAUGACAAAUUCGGUCGCUAAGCUGAGUCAGCAUGAUCCAGGGCCAAAGCUGACGUGGUCCACGUGACCGCGACCACUAUUAGCGACCGCCUGCGGUCGCUGAUACCCUCAAUUGUUUAGCCGUCGCCAUGCGGUCGCUGAUAUGAAAAAAAAACCAUAUUUUUGCUGUUUUGUAGAAUUCUCAAAAACCUAUACCUGUUUUGUACCUGCUUUAUCCCAACACACAUACACAACAAGAUAAACAACAUACACAACAAUAUAAACAUCCAUCGUCCACCAACACAUACACCAAACUAGUAUAUAAACCUUUAAAAACCAAUAUGAUUUGAAUAAAUAUAAUAACAUUUCAAAACUUGUUUAAGUAACAUACAAACAUCCAAAGAAUGAAUAUACAAGUACAAGCUUAUACUAUAACUACAAAACUGAUCUAAAGCAUGUACGUCAAGCAUCAUCGCCUCCUUGAUCACCCUGUAAUUAAAAAAAUAAUAAAACAAGUUACAAAUAUAGUAACUAUAUUGAUACUGGUAUAUAUUACGACAAUACAUACAACAAAUUGAUUUUAUACUUCGUCGCCAUCCCCAUGCUGUCUUGCUGCUGCUGCUGCUGCUGCUGCUACUGCUUCAGCUAACUCCUCAGGACUCAGAGCCCCCAGAUGCCCGCCCAAUAUCUUCAGAAGAUCUCGAUCUCGACAUAUAGCUCUCACACAGUCAGCUGGAGUAUGAACAAUUGGAUGGCUCGAUGACUGUGAAGACUGGGUAGAAGAGCAGCUUGAGCCACUAAAGGAUGGGCGUCGUCGUUGUCCUUGACCUUUAAUGUAGUUCUUCAUAACAGACGCCCUCUCCCACAACUCGUGAUCAAUAGGCGGACGUGGAGUGCCUUCAGGAUAACGCUCAUUCAAUAAACGCUUAUAAGUAUCCUGUCAUUAUGUUAACGAUUAAAUAGUUAAAAAUAAAUUCUGUAAGCAUUGAUAAACAAGAUCAAAUUGUUAAAACUUAUUACCGCUAUUUGGAUAGCAUCAAGCAGACCAUCACGGGUGGCCACGUACACAUCCAACCAAUGGAUAGGCUGACCUUGAGACUUAGACUCCUAUACAAAAAAUAGCACAAUAUUACUAAGUAAAAAUGUGAUUUUUCUACAAUUCAUGAUUGUAAACAUAUUAAAACUUGUAAAUACGUACCCUGGCAGUGAUAUGCUGCAACUGUGAAAUACUGCCGCCCUUGUAUGUUCCUUUAGCCUUUUCGCCAUCGGGUACACCCGAGGAUCUGUUGGUGGCGGCAGUCUUUCGUCUUUUCACCCAGCUCUCAGCUCUCCAUUGGGCACACAUCUCAGCCCAUAUGGACUGGGUGCACCACCAGGGGCUAUGCUCGUGCAUGUAAUCCUCUCCCUGGCCUGGAUGGUCGAUCUCGGCAUUGUGAAGGGCUUUUUGUCUUUCUUUGUUCAAAUUAUCUUUGGUGCGGACCGCGCACUUCUGCCAGAAUAAUGUCUGUAUCACUGAAGCAUGCGCGUCCUCUCAUCUAUACCGUUUCUGCAAAUAAAACAACAAUAAUAACAUUACUAAACAAUUAUCCUUUGAAUAUUAUAUUAUCUGUCAUAAUUAAAAAAAACAUACCUGAAAUUCAGCCCAAACAGCAUCCUUGUGGGCGAUAGGUGUGCUCGCCCACGUAAUCACAGGUGUAGGCCAAUUCUGUAAACACAGCUGUGAUAUGCACUUGACGAUCUUAUUAUCUGAAAAAUCACUAUAAUAUACAACAAUUUACAUCAACGAUAAGUAGAUAUAUUAAAACAAUUUACAUCUAAGUUAUAAUACUUAUGAACAUUUUUCAAACUUAUACUUAUAAUACUUAAAAAAAAAAUCGCCAGAGUCUCCCCUACAAUAUAGACUAGCCACAUGCACGACGACACGCAUAUAUGGACAUUUCUAGGCACCCAAGACACAAACCAAGAGAAAUAUACAAAUUUUCAAUACAAUAAGACCAAAAUAAUAACGAUUGAAUGCAAAUUAAAGCAGUAAAAAAUUCAGACCCAUAUACAUUACCAAUAUAAUACCAAUCAAAACAUUACCAAUAUACAAUUAUACAUGAAUUAUGGAUUGAAUUAUGGAUAAACUUAAUUCCUAGUUAUGUUUUAUGGCAUACUCAUGUUCAUGGUUUUGUUGAUCUUGACGAUCUUAUUAUCUGAAAAAUCACUAUAAUAUACAACAAUUUACAUCAACGAUAAGUAAAUAUAUUAAAGCAAUUUACAUCUAAGUUCUAUAUAUCUUGUAUAAAUAAAAUCUUAAAUGCUUAUAUAUAAAUGAUAUAUGCGGGACGUACAUGCUAUUCGGAGGAGGGCGAAUCUGAAUAAGAAUCCGAUCAUCCGGAUUAGUAGGGGUCUUGGGCACAUGAUUAGGCCCCCUACCCAAGCCGCGCUUUUUCUGCGCUGCUUUAGAAGUCAUUUGUAUAUUACAAAUUUCAAGAUGUUAUUAUGAGUCAUAUUUGAUUACAUGUAUAUAUGAUAAUAAACAUGACAGUGAUAUAAACAUGUAUAUAUAUGAAUAUAAAAUGACAAUUAAAAAAAGUUGCACGGUACCUACUACAGACAACAUGAGUUGUAUUAAUCAUAUGACUUGAGCAUACUUGUAACCAUAUGACUUGAGCAUACUUGUAAGCAUAUGAUUAACAUUUCAGCAUACUUGUAAGCAUAUGACUUGAGCAUACUUGUAACCAUAUGACUUGAGCAUACUUGUAAGCAUAUGAUUAACAUUUAAGCAUACUCAAUGUUAACGAAUGAAUGCAAAUUAAAGCAGUAUGAGAAACUUUAAAUGUUAUUAAAUUUAGUAUGAGAAACUAAGUAAAUACCACUUAGUUUAAUAGUUAUAUUAUAUCAUGUUAUUUUAUUUUAAUUUGUUUGAAAUUUGUUUUUAUUGUUAAUCGUAAGUGAAUACGUAAGGUAUUUCAUUCAUGCUAGCUUUAUAUCAGAGUUAAAGUAUCUCAUUUUUAUAGCCAAAACAGUCUUUUUAUUGACCAAGUGUGUCUAGUUACCUUCUCUGUUGCACUAACAGUUCCCUAGCACUGCCUAUUUUGGCUUAACAACCCCCCCAAUAGCUUACCAUGCUGACAACCAAGCUUGGCUUGGCCCCGUGAGGCUUGGCUAAGCUUGGCGUGGCCUCGUGUGGCCUCGCGGCCCCAAGCCCAACCCAUCAGCUCCAACAGCCCCUUAAUAGGCUCUAGUGGAUCACCAAUAUAUUUAUAUCCAAUUGAUAAGCAGCACCCAGGCUCUCUAUAUAAACAAAACCCAAUUUACUUAGAAUUACUAAAAUUAAGCUACUCACAUAUUCAAACAAUUCAAUUUCUCAUUUUAUUUCAAUAAUGGGCAUAACUUUCCUAUAACCAAAAGCUAUUCUAUAUUUUAAACCUAAAAUUGUUCACAAUAAAAGAGGUAAAAAAAAAUUCAACUAUAAACUUAUACUUAUAAUACUUAAAAAAAUUUCGCCAGAGUCUCCCCUACAAUAUGGACUAGCCACAUGCACGACGACAUGCAUAUAUGGACAUUUCUAGGCACCCAAGACACAAACCACGAGAAAUAUACAAAUUCCCAAUACAAUAAGACCAAAAUAAUAACGAUUGAAUGCAAAUUAAAGCAGUAAAAAAUUCAGCAAAUUAAAUCAAAUUCUUUGUUACGUGAAUAAGAAUAACAUUUGUGUUGUGUUCAGUUUUUUUAAAAAUUGAACCUUUCUAUGUGUUCAGCCAAAUCUGCAGGUUUCUUCCUUUUUCUUUAAACCUUUCUAUGUGUUCAGUUUUUUUUAAAAAAAAACAUUUGUGUUGUGUCUGUUUGGUUUACACUGGAAGAUGCUGUUUUUACUCGUUGGAAGAUAUUGUUUUACAUUUUAUAUGAUAUUAUAUACAUGAAUUACACAUGCAAUAGAGAUGAUAUGUGUAAUCAAUACUUGUGUGAAUUGCACAUGAUUUUAUAUGAUAUUAUAUAUCCAAGAGUUGUGCUUUCCUACAAUUUGUGUAUUUGUGUUGUGAUUUGAUUGAAUGAUAACCAUAUGUGUGUUCUGCAGUUUGAACUGUAUCAUCUGAAGUUUGAUUUGAUAUAGUCUUAUCCGUAAAUAAUUUAAUAUUUUAAAAUCUCAAUGUGUAUUGUUACGAAAAUACUUGUGCCCGAUAAUGUCAAGGUGUAGGAAUAUGUAAAUUUUUGUUGAGAAGUGAUAUGGAAUUCAAUUUUGUUUAUAAACAAUUGUCAAAACAUGAAUUAUUUCUAUUUCAGUUAUUUAGAGGAGUGUUUUUAUGACUUGGAGACAUGUAUCUCAAGAUGAAAGAUGGAUUAGACAGGAUUUCAUUCCAACAAUAUUGUGAUUCAUUGCACAAGGAUCUAUUACAAGUUCAUAACUAGUAUUAAGAUAUUAAUUACAUGAAUUUCAAAUUAGAGGGAUAGUCAAAUUUGAAACUUUCACGUGACAAAAUUAUUACUUGAUAUUUCAGGUGCGCAUUUUAUUCUUAUUCAUUCUACAAUAGAUAAUGUAGGGUUGGAACCAUUCCUAUACUGCUAUCAAGUUUGUUAUACUAUCACUAUCACUAGCACUAGCACAACAAUGGUAAGAAAGAAAUAAUAAUCAAAUUCUAUUUGUGUGGAGUAAUUGUGAUACUAAAAACAAAUUACAGCAAAAACCUAAACGAAUUACCCAAUACCUAGAUUAGGGUUACCAGAUUUGAUGACAAAAACCUAUUUUAAAACAAAAACAAAUUACCCAAUUCGAUAGGUGACUAAACGAAUUACCCAAUACACGGUGUAUUCAUGCACACAAUCGCCAAAUCCAAAGAAUUCACAUACAAUUUCAAACACGAUUCAAGAAAUUACAAUGAAUGAAGAUAAAUACCUGUUUAGAAGAUUUAAUCAAACUCGUUUGAAAAAUUUGAUCUCCUUAGGCAGGUGGUAGGUGGCCGGUGGCAGGUGGCGGCGGUGACGAUCGAGCUCCUCUUCCUCUCCCCUCUUUCUCCCUCUUCUCUCUAUUUCGGAGCUCUCUCUUUUUUUUCCUUCUCUGUUCUGUGUCGAGCGAAUGCCUGAUACUGAUUUCAUUUAGGUUGAUCAGCGAUCGCUAUCAGCGACCACAUGCGGUCGCUGAUUUUUAAUGACAUGGACUUAUCAGCGACCGCAUGCGAUCGCUGAUUAUAAGUGGUCGCAAAAAACUACGCGCCAACAUUUCCUGCCAAAUUUGGGUGGAAAAUUUGUUUUAGCGACCGACUGCGGUCGAGGAUAUCACUUAGCGACUGGAUUAUAGACUGGUCGCUGAUGUCGGUCGCUAUUAAGAAUAUCAGCGACCGGGUAUGCGGUCACUGAUAUAAUUGGUCGCUGAUAGACCUUUUUCUUGUACAAGUUUGUACAAAUGAAUGUAGUGAGUGGUGGACAGAAUGGCAAUGAGACUGUAGACUUGGGAAUUUAUCUUGCACUGCUUCUCCUCUUGUUUACCCUACCCUGAAAGAAUAAUAAUAAUAAAGAGGGAGAAAGAAGCUUAUUCCAUUGCAGCCUGAACUGAAGGUCGAUGAAACAAUAUUAUGGUGCCAUGGCUCUGAAUUAUAAGGGGGGCCCUGGCUCCCGGACGCUGCUGAAAGAUGGUGAAUAAGUUACCUCUUGUUCUUUUUUUUUACCUUUUAUGCAUAUUUUUGAAUGAUAUAUAAAAUGAAAGCAAAUGGAUCAGGGAAAGUAGUACUCCCUUCGUCCCUUAAUACAAGUUAUUUUACGAAAAUGUAUUAACUAAUAUUAAUUGUUUAAUUUUCAAUAUUACUCCAAAUAUUAAAUAUAAUUUUGGUUCUAAUAAAUAACACUCUCUUUUUUCAAUUCAAGGACAAUAUAAAUAAUUGAUAUUAUAUUUAAUGUUAUACAAUUAUUUUCUUAAUAAUUGUACAUAACUCUAAAAUGACUUAUAUUAAGGGACGGAGGGAGUAUCAUUCAAUUAAUAAUUAAAAUCUAUGUGAAAUUUCAUCACUGCCCCUUUAUGAGAAGUUAGGUUGAAAAUUACUAAUACAAGAGAGAGAAUUUCUUGGAAUAUAUAUAUGUUGUUGUAUAAAUUAGACAAAUUGUUUACAAUAAUAUUCUUUUAUCUUGUACUUGUCAGUUUUCAAAAGGGUAUAGGAAAAGAUUGAGAGAAGGGACCUUCCUAGUACCUACACAAAAAGAUAUCCCCUAGUUUAAGGCAUUGAACAAAAUGGGCUCACAUGAUGGGGGGAGGAUGUGUCAUCUCAUCUCCAUGCCAACACAUAGGCUAUUGAAAUGAACCCCCUUUUUGGCCUAAUGAAAAGAGUGUCGUAUGUGGAGUGAUCCAAUUUGGAACCUUUGCUAAUUUUUCUCAUGAGGGUUGUUAAUCCCACAACUAUGUUAAAGCAAAUUUGGAUAGUGUUAACCCUACUUUUAUGGGUGACCAUUUUAUUAAAGCAAAUUUGGAUUAUGUUAACCACAUUGUGUUCAACUUUAAUUUCUUUUAAAAAAGCAAUGACCGUUGGAAUGUUCGCAGUAGGAUAUUUUCGAAAUUCUGAAUAAUAGUAAUAGUAUUGCCUGAAUCGAAUGGAAGUCCACUAUCUCCUUAAGACGGUAUUCUCCCAUAUAUAUAUAUUGUACAGAGUUACAGUGAAUCCGUCUCCCAAGAUAAGACAAACCCAUAAAUUAAUCUGUAUUAAAUAUUAUGUGUAGGAUAAUAUGUAAUUCAAAACUAUAAUUUGAGAGAGAAAAAAAUAAUUACACCAAAAUUCUUUUAAAGAAUUAUGCAUUCAUUUCUUGUGAAAUGAACUGUUCUCCCAAAGGAGAGUUUUCUAAUCCAUUUAUAGGAUUCCAAAUAUCCCUUUGAAAAAUGCACCUUUUUAAUUUUGAAAAUAUAUAAACUAAACAUACCUUUUUAAUUCGAUUUGCUUCGGUUAUUCGGUUAUAUCCGUUUUUUGCUCAGUCCUAUUAGUUUGUGAAAAAAUUAAGAUCAUAGACAAGUAGGAGUAUUCCAAUGAUAGAGACGUGAUAUAAAUAUUUCUAUUUAACUGUGAAAGAACACAAAUCCGAGUUUACCAGUUAAUAAAAAAAAUCAAAUUUUAAUAUAUUUAUCACAUUAUAAUAAUAUAAAUUUUAAAAAGAAUAAAAAUUAAAUAAUGAGAAUAUGCAUUAACUUGUGUGAGCGCUUUAAUCCAUGUGAGCUCGGAAUUCGUGGCAGCAGAUAAGAGAAUAAGCGCAGAUCACCCACCGAGCAGGUUAGCUGUUUUCCCUGGAGAGUAGAUCCCCUGUCCCUAAUUUCUCUGUCCCCUUGUUGUGACGCCUCCAAAAUAGGUCAAUCCAUCCAACCCAUUCUGAGUCUCCAAAUACAUGGUACAAAAAACAACUACAACUUCAUUAUUACAAUUGUCGCGCAAAAUACGACAACACAUAUACUGUGAGUUUAAAUACGAACUGUGACUCUGGACACCAACUUGUGUCAGCACCUCACAUUGAUACAUUACAUAAAGGUAUAGUCAAUAACUGUUUUAGAAAUUAAAAUCUUUGGAAAAUGCUCAAGAAAACCUUCGUACAUGAGAGACCAUGCAUAUAAGUUAUAAUAGAUAUCAUAUGAUUGGAGAAUUAUCCUUGGUUGACCCAAUAGUCCCCAAAGAAAAACGAGAAGAUUGCUAUCAUGUUCUUUCCAAUGGUGAGUCUUCUCUUGACAUAUAAUUAUCUCCAUUGUCUCCAAUUGAGAAUUAUAUCUCAACCAAACUCCAAGAUUAUAUAGGUAGUGCUCAUAGAUAUAAUCAGCAAGUGGAUGUACACAACCAUGUCUUAUGAUAACUCGUAGGUCAUUAGACAUCUUGUAUGAUAGUGGUAGAACACCCUUCCAAAGUUGGGUUCACCUCACCCUAUUCGGUUCACCAAAAUUAAAUAUCAAAUGACGUAUACAAUACGAAAAACUUAUCUAAAUUUCUCAAUAAAAUUAUUUCCAUACUAUUUAGGGAGAACCUCAACAGCUAUAGACUACCGUUCUAUUCCCCUGUUACCCCCGUUCGACCCAGCUUCACUCUUGUUACCUGAAAGGAAUUGUGAAGCAAAAGGGUGAGCACAACUAGCCCAGUAAAGAAUAUCAUGACUAAGAUAAAUAAUUUAUCAAUAGCCUUCAUCAGUAAUGAAUCAGAGAUUUAGAACAUAUGGUAGAUGAUAAAACUUUUCAACCAUAAUUGUAGCAGAAUGAGCAGUCCAUUAGAAGAGUCAAAUAGACCAUGAAGUCUAUUAUCUUCUCCAUGUUAAAAGUCCACCAACAAUGUUUUAUCCCGGUAACAUCAAUCAACAGUUCCUGUCCACAAUCAUGUGAAUAACUCAUAAUCAUAUUUGUGGUUCUAAAUUUCUCUUCUCAUCUAGGACGAAUAUAAAUUUCAUCACAUGUCUUUACCUGAAACAUCAAAGAUUAUGGUUAUACCAAAUCACAGUUCCUGUUCAUAAUCAUACUAAUAGGUUCAUCUUUACACUACGGGCCAAAGAUAUUCAUUAACAGUUCAUCUUUGCACUAUAGACCAAAGAUAUUCAACAACAGGUCAUCUUUGCACUACGGGCCAAAGAUAUUCAUCAACAGGUCAUCUUUGCACUACGGGCCAAAGAUAUUCAUCAAUAAUUCAUCUUUGCACUACAGGCCAAAGAUAUUAAUAUCUUAAAGAAAUAUAUAAUCAUUUCAGAAUUUAUAUAAAUCAUAAUUAUAAUCAUGUUGAUCAAUUCACCUUUGCAUUUAAGUUAAAGAUAUUCAAUUAUAAAUUCAAUGGUCAUGAUCAUACCAGUCAACAAGUCAACUUUGCAAUACUGGCCAAAGAGAACCCAUAGUCACGAUCAUACCAAUAAUCUACCCACUUUUAUACUCAAAUAAAAGAGAAACUUUCUUCACCAGGAUUAUAAAAAUGUUAUAUAUAAUAAUAAAAAUAAUAUGAUCAACAACUGCAUUUAAUUUCAAGAGUAAGAUUCAUAAAUCAACGAUAAUUUGGUCAGAAAAAAGAAACCAAUUUGUUGUGAAUAGUAUCCUGUGAAUAGUAACUCGUGUAUAGUAACUCGUGAAUAGUACUCCGUAUUCGUACAUAGUACCGUACACUUAAAUAAUGUCAUAUACGUAAAUAGUGCCAUAUACAUGAAUAGUGCCGUAUACGUGAAUAGUAACUCCGACACAAAAAGGUAGAAAUUCCAUAAUAAAGUUCAUAUUAAUAUUUCAGCAUAAUGAUAUUGAAGAAAAUAAUAUCAUUUACGAAGAAAAUAACAUUCCUUACAACCCCUUACAAUCCCUUACCUUAAAAGAGCAGUACUUCUGACUGGAAUAUCGGAUAUGACGCUGAAGGAAACUUGCACUGAUUAGCAACUCUCAAAGUAUCAAAAUACUCACAAAAUACGCUCGAUAAUAUAGGGAGAGAAAACUUAUGUUUCUGGUGUGAUUUUCAAUUCUAACUCAGCACCCUAUUUAUAGGAAAAUGCUAGAACGCCAAAGUAGACUUGACCUGCUACCUGAUGGUUUUACCUGCUACUAUUCCCACCCAUCACUUUUGAAAUAAAAUUUGAGAACAUUUCUUCACCAACCAAAGGUGGGGCCCACUCAUUUUAGAAUUUUCCACCAAAAAUCAUUUAUAAACAUAAUUUUCGAAUCAGUCACCUCUUAAAAUUCAUAACAAAUCAUAUGUUAAUUUUUAACGGUUCAAAAUUUGUAGACAUAUACUCAACUUAUAUAUGUAUAACAUAUCCAAAAAUCACAAAGAUCCAACGUUCGGAUUAAAAAUUAUAACUCACGCAAUAUAUCUCAAGAACACUGAUUUGAUUUUUAAUACCUCCAUUCUGACAAAAAUACUGAUAAAAUACAUCAACAUUAAUUCCUUCAAUUAUAUCCACAUAAAAAUAAAUAUUUCCUUCAUUUAUAUCCACAUAAAAAUAUAUAUUUCUUUAUCAUAUAAAUCAAUAAUUAAUUAUUCACAAAUAAUAUUAAAGAAUCACAAUAAUGACAACCAGGCCGUUCCAGGAAAGAGGGGGCUUUCCGAUAAGGAUUUCUCCUUACUGGCGCGCAAUUAGGUGACCAAACCUCUCCUUGACAGAACUUUCUAGACAUUGCCAAUAAUGUUAUCUAAUAAUAUUAUUCAAAUAAUAUGAAUUAUUGAUCUGAUAAUGGAAAAUAUUGUGCAAUGACAAUUAUUGAAACAACAAUAAUAUAAAAUAUCAACGCAACAAUUAUUGAACCAAUAAAAUAAAAUAUUGAACAGUAAUUACUAUAACAAUUAUUGAGUAGUGCCUUCAUACGUAAGAAUCAAUAAUUUAAAAAUACUGUGCAAUACCGUGUGCUACUAUGCAACCACGCGUAAUACUAUAUUUUAACCACCAGGUAAUCAAACAGUGUUAACGGUAACAAUUAUGCCGUUAUUUAUAAAAACUCAAACUUGUCAUUUUCUUCAUCCAACAGUUAUUCUGUUAUGGGGCCCACAAAUGGCUGCGCCGUCGUACGAAUAUUCCUCGACAACAAGAAUAUUCCACGACCAAACGAAUACUCCCCGACAACAAUGAGUAUUUUAUAACCACUUGCGUAUUUUGCAAAAUUUACACAUUUUACCCAUAACUUUAACUUUUUAUCAAUUUAACCAUUUACUGAAUAAUAAUUAUAAAAAAAAAUUGAAUACUUUUAUUUCAUAAAAUUCGGGGUCUUACACUUGUGUCCCUCGACUUAAAUUUUGACACCUAAUCUCUUACUUAACACUAAUUAAUUCUAAAAUUAAAUAAAAUGACAUGUGUCAAAAUUUAAGUAAAAGGACACAAGGGGAAUAAAAAAUUUGGGAAUAGAGGAUCUGCUCUCGUUUCCCCUGCCAUAAUUAGUCAGCUUCACCCAUGACCUAUGGUGGACUUGCUCAUUAUUAACAAUUAUAUUCCUUAAAAAAGUCCUCUCUACACAUUAAAAAAAAAUAAUUUAUAUUUAUAUUUAAUAGUCAUAAAAUUUUAUAAAGUGAUAAAUAUUUUUAUUUUUUUAUAUUAAUAAACCUUACUAAAUAAUAUAUUUAUUUUUUAUUUUAUUUUUUUGUGACAAUAGAUUUAUACUUUAGUUUAUUAUUUUAAAAUUCGGACCGAACCGUCUGUUCAACCAGAUAAAAUCGAAACCGGUUAGCACCCUGAUUCAGUUUGAACCAAUAAAUCAUUUUUUGGUCAAAAAUUGAUUGACCUGGUCGACCCACCGGUCGAAUCGGUGGUUCAACCGAUAAAACCAGUUAAUUGACAUAGUGAACCAUUUUUUUUUAUUUGCUAUAAAUUUUUUAAAUAUUAAAAUUAAUCAUUUUUAGUAAUAUUAUAACUCAACUUUAUUAUGUUUUAGUUUAUAAAAAUGAGAUUUUUAAAGUUUUAUUAAUUACUAAUAAUAUCUUUUUGGCAUAAAUAUGGAUUAAUACCCUAAACUUUUAAUAUUUUUUUACUUUGGAAAUUGUCUUCUCAAUUUUUUUAAUUAGAUGAUUAAAUUUUUAAAUUUUUUUUCAUUUUGGAGAUUGUCUUCUCAAUUUUUCAGUUAGGGGAUUAAACUUUUAAUAUUUUUCCACUUUGGGUAUUUUCUUCUCAAUUUUUUUAUUAGAGGAUUAAAAUUUAAAUUUUUUUUGAUUACGUCUAAAUUGAUAGUGUCACGUCAGAAAAUUGAUGACAUGACAAACACACGUAACUAAAAAAAAUACUUAAAGUCUCAUUUUAACAUUUAUUCAAUUAAUUUUUUGUACAAAAAAGGGUAAAUAUAAGACAAUUAUUAAUUUUACUUUAAAAAUUUGUCAUUAAAUUUACUUUAAAAAUUAAAUUUUAAAAAAAGUAAUUUACCAAAAGGGUAAAAUAAUUAUUAAAUUUACUUUAAAAAAUUAAUAAUGAGUUUAUAUUAAAGUAAUAAUAAUAAUAAUUUACUUUAAAAUUAAUAAUGGUCCUAUAUUUAUCCUUUUUGGUACAAAAAAUUAAUUGAAUAAGUAUUAAAAUGAGACUCAAUAUUACACAUAAGUAUUUUUAGUCAGGUGUCGCUGUUAUGUCAUUAAUUUUUUGAUGUGGCACUAUCAAUUAGAUGUAAUCAUAACAAAUUAAAAGUUUAAUCCCCUAAUAAAAAAAUUGAGAAGACAUUCCCCAAAGUGUAAAAAAAUUAAAAGUUUAAUCUCCUAAUUAAAAAAUUGAGAAUAAAUCCCCAAAGUAGAAAAAAUAAAAGUUUAAUCCUCUUAUUGAAAAAAUUGAAAAGACAAUCUCCAAAGUUAUAAAAAAUUAAAUUUUAAUAUUUUUAUUAAAAAAAUUGAGAAAACAAUCUCCAAAUUUGAAAAAAUUAAAAGUUCAGGUAUUAAUCCAUAUUUAAGCCUAUAUAUUUUUAUCUAUUAAUAACGUUAUAGGGUUAACCCAAUACAUUUUUGUCGGGUUAAAUACAUUUUUCUCCACUUUACUAGACCUCUGUUUAUAAAUGCAUCACUGAAACUAAUUUUUUUACAGUCAACUCAUUGAAUUAUAACUUUUUUAUAGAAAUUGAAAUAUUCAUCUAAAAGUAUUAAAAGUUAACGGGAUGUUUAUGUGGCAUCGCGUCAUAUGCUUAGGUGGACACAUCAGAUGCUUAGGUGGAUAUUCAACAAUUAAAAAAAUACAACAAUUGUCAAUUCUAUAACAAAUAGUUAACCAAAAUAUAAAUCAAAUUAAUGUACAUAACAAAUAGUUAAAUAAAUAAUAAAUAUAUUAAUGUAUAAUUUUUAUAAAUAUAUUUUUAUAAAAUUAAUGAAUUCAUAUUAUUUUUUAAAUUUUGAAAUAUUUUAUGUUUAUUUUGAAAAUAUAAAUUAUCUAAUAUUUUGAAAUGGUGGGAUUAUUAUUCUUAUUAUUAUUUCUCUAUUUUUUUUCUUGACAAUCCUAAAUGUCAUCAAGAAGAAAUAUUUAAAAAGUCAUGGGAAAUUUAGAAAAAAAUUUGCUAUUUUUUUAUUUUAAAAAUUAUAUUUUUAAUAUUUUGCAAAGUUAAAACUAAUGAUAUUUACAUAAUUAAUCUUAAUUAUCUAAAAUCUAAUCUCAUUUUUUUUGCUAUUUUUUAUAACUUUUACUUACUUAUCUGGGUUUAUUUUUUAAAUUUAGUUUUUGUUUUUAUUUUUUUCAAAUUUGAAAAAUCUUCUAUCUACUCAUUCAAAAGAUCUUUUAGUUGCUGAAUCUAAUGAUCUUUAGAUCUUAUGAUCAGAAUCCCCCAUUCCCAAGGUAAUCAAAUCCAAACAUGGAGUUUCUAUAAUCGAAAGUGUAUUAUCCAUUUUUUGCUGUUUAUUCAGCUUUUGAAUCUCUAGUUUUCGGGCUUCGCUAAGGAGCCCCGUUCUCUCUCUUAGCUUCUCUUUUUCUCCCCUUAGGUUUUUGAACUCUUACCAGAGCCGAUAAACGCAGACAAUCAUUAUUCAUCAACCAUUUGUUCUAAUUUAGAUCUUCUCGGACUAUCGGAUUUAGCGGGAGGAUCCGACAUAAUCAUGCCCUUUUUUGUAGACUUUUGAUCAUUUUAGUGUUUGGCUAGCUUUGAAUUUUCCUUUUCCUUUUGCAGUUCCGCUGACGGAGCAACAUUGAAGGAAUUGGUGGCCUAGGGUUUCGAUUGAGGAAUUUAGGGGUUUUUGUGACGCCCCCAAAAUAGGUAUACAUCACCCAUUCUGAGUCGCCAAAUAUAUGGUAUAGAAAACAACUACAACUUUAUUAUUACAAUUGUCGUGAAAAAUACGACAACACAUACUGUGAGUUUAAAUACAAAUAUUGUUUUUUAGACAAUAUCCACACCAGACAAAGUCCUCAUUAUAAUUAUUGAAGCAUUAUUUUACAAAAAAAAAUAGUGAGGACUGCUAAAACAACUGUCUAGGAUCAUUACUCCAUACCCCGGCUAUAUCCUGCUAUAUUCUCAGCUCCUGAGAAUAAAAAUAGAACAAAAAGGAAAAGGGUGAGCUUAACUAGCCCAGUAAAGAAUAUUAUGACUAAGAUAAUGAACAACAAAUUAUCAUUAGCCUUCAACAAAUCAGAUAAAAUAUAAUGGACAACAAGUUUUAGAUCAAUAUUCGCAGCGGAACUAACAAUUCAUUAGAAGAGUUAAAUAGAGAAUGUAAUCUACUAUCAUCUAUGAAUUAAAAAGUCCAUCAUCAAUAUUUUAUUCCUGUAACAUCAAUCAAUAUACAUCUUGUGUAAGACCCCAACUUUUUAUAAAUAAAACCGAAUUUCUUCUAAUUAUUAUUGUGAAUAAUAAGGUGUUAAUUUGAUAUAAUAUUUUGAUUAUGGGUGAAAUGUGCAAAUUUUAUAAAAUAAUCAAGUGGUUAUAAAUUAUUCAUUUUUGUUGGGAAAUAUUUGUGAGACCCCAAAUUUUAUGAAUAAAGAUUUAAAUUUCUCGAAAUAUUUUUUUUUGAAUAUCAUGGUGUGGAUUUGAUAUAAUGUUAUAAUUAUGGGUAAUAUUUAUUUUGCAAAGUAAGCAAGUUGUUAUAUAAUAUUCGAUUGGUCGGGGAAUAUUUUUUUUGUCGGGUAAUAUCCGUACGACGGCACAAUCAUUGGUGGACCCCACAACGGAAGUAUUGUCUUAGUUAGAAAACGACAAAAUUAUCUUUUUAUAAAAAUAAUGGCGAAAGUGUUACCGCUAAAACUGUUGAACUACCCGGUAGUAAAAGUACAGUAAUACGUGUGGUUGCAUAGUAGCACACGACAUUGAUUAUUGAUACUUACGUAAGAAGUCACUCAGUUAUACUCAAUUAUUGCUACAGUAAUUGCUGCAUCAUAUCUCUCAUAUUAUUGAUUCAAUUAUUGUCACAGUAUCAUCUGCAUAAUAUGUUAUAUUAUUAAAUCAAUAAUUGAGACGACAAAGUUAUUCAUAUUAUUAUUUGCAAUAUUGACAAUGUCUAAAAGUUCUGUCAACGAGAGGUUAGAUAAUCUAAUUGCGCAGCAAUAGGGAGAAAUCCUUAUCGGAACUCCCCCUCUUUCCUGGGAACGACCUGGUUGUUAAAUAUUGUGAAUUAUAAUAUUAAUGAUGAAUAAGUUCGUGUUGAUUAAGUAUAUAAUUGAUAGUUCCAUUGUGUUGGAAUUAUCAGUGUUAGUGGAAAUCGACAUUUAUUUCGAUAAUAAUUUAUGUCUGGGGGUUAUAUUGACCAAUCGGGUAAUUAACCGGAUAAAUGAGCAAUUAAUUGCUAUUGAUUCACAUGUUUAUAACUAUGUGUUCAUAUGUGUGUACUAUUGAGUCACAUUCAUUUACUAUCAGGGGAGUUGGUGCAAGAUUGAUAAUACUUGCAUGACUAAGUUAAAAAUGGAGGUAUAGAUGGAGGUACUAUACUGUAAUUCAUAUUUUCACAUGUCUAGAACUAUUGAUUCACAUGAUUUACUAUUAGGGGAGGUGGUGCAAGUUUGAUAAUACUUACAGGACUAAAUUAAAAAUGAAGGAAAAGAGGAAGGUAUUAUACUAUAAUAUUUCGAGCCCCAAAACGUGCAAUUAUCGAAACUAUAUUUUCCUAUAAAUAGAAGCUCAUUCCUUCAUUAUUUUAAAAAAAGGAUGUCUGCUUUGGUACCUUUAGUCCAAUCUUAGACAAAGAGCAAGGAGGAUAUGAAGCACUGCUGGGUAGACCAUGGCUCUAACCAGGUGGUUCAGGACUGGGCUAAUAAAAAAAGUCUCAAGCAGGGAAACGCGGGAUGGAAGGCGGAAAAGGCUUGGCUUUGUUUCACAGAAAUAGGACUAAGGAAAUUUCGUUUCCGUAGACCAAUUCACUAAAGCUAUAGAGCAAUUAUUAUACAGAGAAAUUAUAGAGAGAAAGAAGAAGAAGAGAAGUCGGCUACCUCACUAUUCCAGUAUCCAGUCUUCUUCUAAGGUAAGGGGUAUUAUUCUUUCGUAUUCAUGAAGAGAGUUAUUUUCUUUCAAUACUCGUAAGGGUUGUUAUUCCAUCCUUUAUUAUUAUAUUGGAAUAACCCGUCUAUGCGAAGUACCGCAUACAUGGUGAAAUUCUUAUGUUAUUCCAUUAUUUAUUAUUCUGUUGGAAUAACCUGUCUGUGCGGUCUAUCGCGUGCCUGGUGAAUUCUGUUGUUAUUCCAUUCUUUAUUAUUCUGUUGGAAUAUCCUGUCUGUGCGGAUUACGCAUGACCUGGUUCCAUUCUUUAUUAUUCUAUUGGGAAUAACCUGUCUGUGCGGUCUAUUGCAUGCAUGGUGAAUUCUUCUGUUAUUCCAUUCUUUAUUAUUCUUUUGGAAUAACCUGUCUAUGUGGAUUACCGUAUGCAUGGUGAAUUAAGAAAUUCUUUUAUUAUCUUCAAUGAAUUAAGAAAUUCAUUUCUUAGAACUCGAUAAGAGUUUACCACCACUAUGUUCUUGAUCUCCUACAAGGCUACUACCUAAGGUUGUUCCUCAACCUAAGGUUCAUAACCUACAGCUUUGAUACCAACCUGCGACACCCCCAAAUCCGGUACUUCCAUUUCCAAAGAAUUUGGUGUUUACUGUACAAAUAUCAUCUAUCUAUCUGCCCAUAAAUAAAUGCAAACCAUGCAAUAGAUAGAAAUAUUAAAUAAAUCUCCCCUUAUGGGGUUACAUCAACUGCAUAAUAAUAAAAUCCCAGGUUGCUCUAACCUUAAAUAUUUGUGCGGAAUCAUAAACAAAUAAUAAGUCUUUAAAUAACAUAAAUUUAUAAUAUCAUUACAUAAACACAUAAAUAACCAGUCUUCAUUACUUGCUAAUAUUGCCCUUGCCUUUACUAGUGGAAGGCUCGUCUGGUCUUUCGUUCUUAACUGCAAUGUUAUUAUUACGCAAGAGUGAGCAGGAUUGCCCACAAGUAUAACAAUAUAACGAAUGAAUAAUAACAUGCGAAUAAAUUAAAGGCUUCUGAAAUAGGAAGACUCGACUUUUGAAUCAUGAAUGAAUAACAAGAAACAAAAGAACUUCUGAGCGUCAUAAGACCUUGAACUAUGUCCUAGGUUGUCAAGUGUUUAUACUUCAAACCUUUAACAGUCAUAAGACUAUGGACUCUUCUUCUCGUACUUAGGGGGAUCAGACCUUAGUACCAUACUGUGCACAAUAUCUUAACGCUAAUGCAUAAGUAAUCCCCUAUACAAGGUUGUUCAUCUCAGUUUGACAUUAGAGUCCGCACCAAAGGAAGUUUGGUUUGGAUAAUUCAUCAAGGGUUCUGAAAUUUAGAACACUCAUCAACUAUGGACUAGUCGAAUCAUUAAGGGUUCGCUAGUCUAACAAGAUUCAACAGUAACUGAUAAUUUAAUUUGAAUAAAAUCUCAAAAGGUAUACAAUAGAAUAAGUAUUGUAUAACAGCAUCAUGCUUGAAAGAUUAAUAAACUUUAAUAAAAUAAAACAGACUUGAUCAAUAAUAAUGAGAACUUGCUCAAUGUAGAAAGGUGAAUUUAUCAACUUAUAUAACAAUAACAAGUAGGGUUAGGAAACUUGCCUCGUGCGUAGAUUACACGUUAAUUAAACUUAUUCCUUGAUUUAAAUCCUACAUAUCAUUUACGUUCACAAUACUAGUCAAUUAUAACGUACUAAUCAUCACAAGUUCAUUCUUUUUGUUUAAACUCGAAUUAUGACUAUGUUUAGUCAAAUUAAGAUACUUGUUUUCACGUAAUAUUAUACUAUACGAACAACGAGCUAAUUACAUAAUCAACAAUUCAAUUGACAUGUAAAUGUCUCAUUAUAUGACUAAUACAUUUUUAUGUUCAUUAGAUUAGGUUACUAUUAUAGUCCCUAAAAUAAAACCAUUAAAAUGCUCAUUCUUGGACAAACUGCAGAGUGGCACUGCGGCGCCACCUUAUAGUUCAUUCUCGGCGCUGCGGCGUGGAGGACCAGAUUAUGAACUGCAAUUCGCAAAAAAUUGCAGAACAUGGCCAAAACACCUAAUUAACAUAUUUUUACAGGAAUUUAGACAUACCCAAACAUUGUAACACACAAAUAACUAAUACUUAACCCUUCUAACAUGGUUUUAACAAGUUUAAACACAUGAUUUGUAAAAUCAACACAUUUAAUUUCACUAUUCUUGAUGUUCUUGAAGGUUUUGAACAAAAACAUAAAAUUUAACACUACAAAUUCGUUAUAACACCAAAUCCAUCCAUUCAAGUUUUGUUUUCUUCAUUUUAGCAUGCAUAAUUGUAUACAAAUGGAAAUUUUAUAAAAUAAUUUAUGUUUGACAUAUUAAAAUCACGUAUAAAGGUCAUAUGGCCAUAUUCUAUACUCUGUAAAUUUUGAAGCCAUAACAUACGUUAUAAUAUUAUGAAACAGAUGAUAUGGAUCCAUCUAAUACAUGGGAAAACACAUUAAAACAACAUCUUAACACAUAUAUGCACAUAAUCUUUACUCUUUCCAAUUGUUGAAUUAAACAAGAAAUUGAAAGCCAAAACUUAAACAAGAUAAUUUGAAAUUUGGGAAAGAAGAAAUUACCCUUGAAUACUCUGCUUGGAUUACACAUGAUGAUAAUAAGUUAACAACUCCCAAUUUCCCACACUUCUUCUCCUUUAAUUUCACUGAUUCUCAAACUCUCUCUCUCUCCCUCUCUGUUUUUGCGUUUCCAGACUUAGCCAAAUAAUGAAAAAGAAAGGAAGACGUAUAAUAUAAAUAAAAAUGAACUGACGCGUUGUGGAGGUCAGUUACCUAUCAUGGGUAACUGCUCUCAACCUCCCUUAGUGCCAUGUUUGGCUAGCCUUAAAAGGCUUAUACCCAAUUAAUUUAAUAAAACAUUUAUAAUAUAGUUUGGAAAAUGUCACACCCCUUUAUAAAAUAAAUCCAAUAUCUUAUUUAAUUUAUUUUAAAUAAAAUAUAACAAUUUCUCAUUAAUUCAUAGUCACAUAAUUAAAUUUCUCAUUUAUUAAUUAUGUCAAAUUAUUAAAUCUCUAAUUAUUUAUUAAAUUAAUUAAAAUAACAUUAGGCUUAUUAAAUAUUUCUUUUUAAUACAAUAAGCUCACAUAAUCACAUACUUCGAAUAAUAAAAAUUCUCCACAUUAAUUUAAUAACUAUAACACAUAUAAUUAAAUUAAUCUACCACAGCUUCAUCAAUUAAUUAUUUAAUCUAAUAAUUAAUUCAUCAAAAAAUAUUUAUUCAAUCUAAUAAAUAUUAAAAUUAAAUUACAAAAUCUCGGUUGUCACAUCUUUCCCCUCUUAAAAGGAUUCUGUCCUCAGAAUCACAACUCAAACAAUUCGUCCCAUUACAUUCUCCCCCUUUACAAAGAUUUUGUCCCCAGAAUUGCUUAUAAUAAUCUAAGUAAAUAAAUGAGGAUAAUUCUUCAUCAUAUUCUCUUCGAGUUUCCACGUAGCUUCUUCAGCGUUGUGGUUCCUCCAAAUUACCUCAACAUAAGGUAUUACUUUAUUUCUUAGAACUUACUCUUUUCAGUCGACAAUUUGAAUAGGAAUUUCUUCGUAAGAUAAGUCUUUAUCGAAAUGUAGGGGUUCAUAUUCAAUCACGUGCUUGUAAUCGAGUUUGUAGGGUCGUAGGACUGAGACAUGGAAAACGUUGUGGACAUUCUCUAGAGCUGGAGGUAAGGCUACCUCAUAAGCAACUUCUUCGACCCUUCGUAGAACUUCAUAUGGUCCAAUGAAUCUUGGGCUUAAUUUCCCUUUCUUUCCGAAUCUGAUCUUUCCCUUCCAGGGAGAGACCUUUAAGAACACAUAACUUCCUAGUUCAAACUCAACAUUUUUACGAUGUGGAUCGGUGUAUUUCUUCUGUCUGUCUUGAGCUGCUUUCAAUCUUGUUCGGAUCACUUUGACUAUUUCUGCUGUUUGUUGUACCAAUUUCGGGCCUAGUAAGUCUUUCACCAACUUCAUCCCAAUAUAGCGGAGUUCUACACUUUCUGCCAUAUAACUCUUCAUAAGGCGGCAUGCCAAUACUAGCGUGGUAACUAUUGUUGUAGCCAAACUCUACGAGCGGUAGAUGAUCAUCCCAAUUUCCUUUAAAGUCCAUUAUACAAGCUCUUAACAUAUCUUCCAAUGUCUGAAUUGUUCUUUCACUCUGUCCAUCUGUCUGAGGGUGAUAUGUCGUGAUCAUUCGCAACUGUGUACCCAUGCAUUCUUGUAGACGUUUCCAGAAGUUUGACGUAAAGCGCAGAUCUCUAUCUGAGACAAUUAACACCGGGACUCCGUGCCUCGAAACAAUCUCUUUCACAUAUAACCUUGCCAACUGAUCUAAGUUGAAUCUGAUUUUGAUCAGAAGAAAGUGUGUGGAUUUCGUCAAUCGGUCAACAAUAACCCAUACUGCGUCGUUGCCUUUCUGAGUUGUCGGUAGGCCAACCACAAAAUCCAUCGUAAUAUGUUCCCAUUUCCAUUCUGGAAUCUCUAAAGGUUGUAGUAACCCACUCGGCCUCUGAUGUUCUGCUUUAACUUUCUGACAUGUCAGGCACUUGAAAACACAUUCUGCAACCUCUCGUUUCAAAUUUGGCCAUCAGAAAUGUUGUCGAAGAUCUUGGUACAUCUUGGUACUACCCGGGUGAAUCGAAUAUCAUGAGUUAUGAGCCUCGCUCAAAAUUUCUUCCUUAAUCUCUGGUACUGGCGGUACUCAAAUUCUACUCUCAAACCUCAGUAUUCCUUCCUUAUCCAUCUUGAAUCUUGAUUUGGUUCCUUCGGAUAUCUUCUUUUUCACUGUUUUACAUUCAUCAUCCUGAAAUUGAGCCUCCUUAACCUUGUCUAGUAGAGUUGUACCAGAUUGUAUAUGAAACAGCUUCUCAUUGAUCUCCAUAGGACACUUAACUUCCAAUUCUAGCUUUUCCAUUGCUGAAAUUAACUCCUCCUGUUUGGUCAACAUCAUCAGUUUCUCCCGACCCUUUCUAUUUAAGGCAUCGGCAACCACAUUUGCCUUACCCGGAUGGUAUAGAAUCUCAUAAUCGUAGUCUUUAAUUAACUCCAACCACCUUCUUUGGCGCAUAUUCAAAUCUUUCUGUGUGAAAAUAUAUUUCAGACUUUUGUGGUCUGUAUAUAUUUCACACUUCUCCCCAUAGAGAUAGUGCCUCCAGAUUUUUAAAGCAAAAACCACAGCAGCUAACUCCAAGUCGUGGGUCGAAUACCCCUUCUCAUAAUCCUUCAAUUGUCGUGAUGCAUACGCAAUGACUCUACCGUUCUGCAUAAGCACACAACCAAGUCCUUUAUGCGAUGCUAUAAACCAAAAAAUUUCCUGUGUCAUCCGAAAGAGAUAACAUAUGUACUGAACUCAACCUCUUCUUUAAUUCUUGAAAGCUUUCCUCACACUUCUCCGUCCAAACAAAUUUCAUCGAUUUUCUAGUCAAAUUUGUCAAUGGAGUUGCGAUCUUGGAAAAAUCCUGAAUGAAUCUUCUGUAAUAACCUGCCAAUCCGAGAAAACUUCUUACUUUCGACGGCGUCUUCGGCUGAUCCCAGUUAAUCACAGCUUCGACUUUGGAGGGGUCCACCGAAAUUCCGUCCCUAUCAAUCACAUGCCCUAUAAAUUGUACUCUUUUAAUCCAAAAUUUAUAUUUCAAAAACUUGGCAUACAACUUCUCCCUUCUCAAUGUCUCUAAUGUCACCCUCAAAUGCACUUCAUGUUCUUCUUUGGUUUUUGAAUAUACCAAAAUGUCAAAAAUAAAUACCACUACGAAUUUGUCCAAAAAUGGCUUGAACACUCAAUUCAUUAAGCCCAUAAAUGCUGCAGGAGCAUUUGUUAGACCAAAUGACAUUACCAAAAAUUCGUAGUGACCAUAUCGUGUUCUGAACGCUGUCUUCGGUACAUCCUCUGGUCUCACCUUCAAUUGAUGAUAACCACUCCUCAAAUCUAUCUUUGAAAAGUAUCUUGCUCCCUUUAACUGAUCGAACAGGUCGUCGAUUCACGGUAAUGGAUAUCUAUUCUUGAUCGUGACCUUAUUCAGUUCUCUAUAGUCGAUGCAGAGCCGCAUUGUCCCAUCCUUCUUCUUCACAAAUAAAACUGGUGCUCCCCACGGUGAUACGCUUGGUUGGAUAUACUUCUUGUCCAGUAAUUUUUGUAGUUGGAUCAUCAGUUCUUUCAUCUCUACCGGUGCCAUUCGGUACGGUGUCUUCGAUAUUGGGGCUAUUCCUAGAGCCAAAUCAAUCACAAAUUCAACUGCUCUAUCUGGAGGAAGUCAUGGUAAAUCAUUCAGAAAUACGUUUGCAAAAUCUCUUACUACCAAUAUCUCUUCUAUUUUCAGAUUUUCUUUACGACUAUCAACUAUGUAAGCUAGAUAUCCUACACAGCCUUGCCUUAACAACCUCCUGGCCUGCAUCAUCGUCAGAUAACUCGCUUGUCUAGGCGACUUGCUACCAUAAAACACAACCUUUGACGAAGUCAUAAGGUUAAUACGCUUCUUCUGACAGUUAAUUACAGCCCCAUAAUUGGUUAACCAGUCCAUACCCAAAAUAACAUCGAAUUCUUCAAGUCGAAUAGGGAUAAGAUCUACGUUCAUGAUAUUACCCUUAAUAUCCACUCUACAGUUCUUAUGCACUUACUUAACAUGGAUUAUUUCUCUAUUCGCAAUUUCUAUGUUCAUAGGGUAUUUUAACUCGUCCUUAAGCAAUUCUAAGUUCUUAGCAAAUUCAUCAGAUAUAAAUGAACAAGUAGCACCCGAAUCAAAUAAUACAUAAGCAUUAACUUUAUUGAUUGGAAUGAUACCUGACACCACAUCGCGAGACUGCACUGCAUCCUGCAUUGUCAUGUUGAAUGUUCUGGCGGUCGGUCGGUUGGUUGCAGUUGGUCCUGCGAUAGUCAGAGUGCCUCCACCGGUAUUUCCUUUAUUCCCUCCUGAUCCUGUUCCUCCAGAUCCCUUCUUAGGACAAUCCCUUGCAAGAUGAUCCUUUGAGCCACAAGUGAAGCAGGCACCCUUCUUUGGGUUAGGACAGUUAGGUGUUAUGUGGCCUUCCUGAACACAAUUAUAGCACACUCAUUUUCCUUUCAUGCAAACUCCCAAAUGAGUUUUUCCGCAGGUUAGGCACGCUUUGAUCUUCUUCUUCUGCCCUCCUUGUUGACUUCCAUCUAAUGAGUUAUCAGACCACUUCCUCUUCUGAUUAUGACUACCCCCAGUGCUACACCACCAGUCUUGUUAUUACCUUAAUUCUCACUCUUCUUCUUCUUCUUCUUCUUCUUCUUCUGAUCCUGAUUAUACUUAGUUACCGCAUCGCUUCCACCUUCAGCGAGUAUGGCUUUCUCUAACACUCCAGCAAAAGUGUUCAAUUGGAACAUUGAAACCUUGCUAUACAACCAGGGCUUCAGUCCCUGCUCGAAUCGUCUUGCCUUCCUCUCAUCAGUAUGCACUUGGUAUGUGGCGAACCUAGCCAAAUCAUUGAACCUUGCCGCAUAAUCAGCUACUGACAUACUCCCCUAUUUCAACUCUAGAAACUGAACUUCCAUAUGAUUUUGUGAACUGGUCGGAAAGUACAUCUCGAAGAACAUCUCUUUGAAUCUCUCCCAGGAUAUUACACCUUCACCUCCCCGUACUUUGUGUGUCUACCACCAAUAACUGGCUUCAGACUUCAGCAUGAAUGUUUCAUACACGGUUUUCUGGUCUUCCCUUACUCUAGCGACAUCGAACACCUUCUCCAUCUCCAUAACCCAUGUUUGAGCUUCGAUUGGGUUUAUGGAACCUUUAAACUCUGGCGGUCCCACCGCCUUGAAAUCCUUGAACGAGGUAUUUGGUGGAACUUGUGGUUGAUUGUUAAGUGCUCCGGCUAAUAGGUUCACCAACUGCUGAACAUGGUUAGCAUUGGCGUCGUUGUUGUUAUUCAUUGGUUCUUCAUGAGCUUGUUGACUAUUUUGUCUUCUUCUAGGCGGCAUAUUUCUGUUAAGAAUAUACGCUUAUUAGGUCUUUAUUCAAUCCCUUAAACAUUUAAGGCUUAACUAAAAUAUUUAUUCAUAAUUCACUUAACACAUCAAUUCAAAUAAGCUCUGACAUUUUCAUUCAAAUUCAAAAGUUUAAACAUCAUAAGAUAGCAUCACUGCUAUUUACAUCCACUAUCCCGAGAUAAAGAAUCUACAGGAUUUAAAAUAUUAAAUAUUCCUUUGUUUAUAAACACAUCAGAAUUUACAUCUUAAACUACCAGAUAAUUUUCACAUAAUUAAACUAAUUCUAUCACUGUAUGUUAAGGCUCUGAAUAGCCUUGCCACGUUCUUCUUCCAUAAUGCGAGACAUUGUCCUGCGAUCUAUCAUAUAUGAUGGUAGACCUUCAAACUGGAUUGGAUACUUCACAACUCGAUCCUGGGCCGCAUCCAUUGCAUUGUGAAGUGUGGAGUAUGUCUCCCCAAGCUUAGCCUUCUUUGUACGACAAUCUUCUUCAGCAAGAUCAGCACGACGUGACUCUCUUACCCAGCCCUUCUCUGCUAAUGUCAGUCUUUCUGAGAUCUCUUUCAGAUCCUUCUUCAACUUCUCUAUUUCUUCGGUCUUCUCCUCAGUUUGACCCUUCUCGUGAACCAAAUCCCACUCCACGUUUCCUAAACGUGUGUGAAGAGUCACAAUUUCCCCAUCCUUCUGCUCGAUGGUAAUUUGCUGAAUAACAGCCCUCUCCUUCAGCUCUUGAACAGUGUCCUGCAACUCUAUGUUACGAUCAUAAAGCGCAUCAUACAUCUCAACAUCAAUGGAGUUCGGUGGGAACUCCUUUUCCUCCUUUUCUUCAUCAGAAUCCUCCUCUAGAUCAGUCUCAGGCUCAUGCUCCUGACUAACAACAGUGAUCAAAGGAGAUGGCUUUCUCUGUACCAACUAUUCCCUGACGACAUGAAUGUCUCGGGGCUCCUCCUCUGUAGGUACUCGGGGUUCCUCCUCCCCAGCUCGACUAGCUCCUCCAACAUCCGACAUCCUGACAACAAAAUUUUAAGUUUUAAUUACUAAUCCAUACUAACGAGCACAUAAAUUAACACAUAAGUACAAAAAGUCUUUUAUUAUCUUCAAUGAAUUAAGAAAUUUAUUUCUUAGAACUCAAUAAGAGUUUACCACCACUAUGUUCUUGAUCUCCUACAAGGUUACUACCUAAGGUUGUUCCCCCACCUAAGGUUCAUAACCUACAGCUUUGAUACCAACCUGCGACACCCCCAAAUCCAGUACUUCCAUUUCCAAAGGAUUUGGUGUUCACUGUACAAAUAUUAUCUAUCUAUCUGCCCAUAAAUAAAUGCAAACCAUGAAAUAGAUAGAAAUAAUAAAUAAAUCUCCCCUUAUGGGGUUACAUCAACUGCAUAAUAAUAAAAUCUCAGGUUGCUCUAACCUUAAACAUCUGUGCGGAAUCAUAAACAAAUAAUAAGUCUUUAAAUAACAUAAAUCCAGAAUAUCAUUACAUAAACACAUAAAUAACCAGUCUUCAUUACUUGCGAAUCUUGCCCUUGCCUUUACUAGUGGAAGGCUCGUCUGGUCUUUCAUUCUUAACUGCAAUGUUAUUAUUACGCAAGAGUGAGCAGGAUUGCCCACAAGUAUAACAAUAUAACGAAUGAAUAAUAACAUGUGAAUAAAUUAAAGGCUUCUGAAAUAGGAAGACUCGGCUUUUGAAUCAAGAAUGAAUAACAAGAAACAAAAGAACUUCUGAGGGUCAUAAGACCUUGAACUAUGUCCUAGGUUGUCAAGUGUUUAUACUUGAAACCUUUAACAGUCAUAAGACUAUGGACUCUUCUUCUCGUACUUAGGGGGAUCAGCCCUUAGUACCAUACUGUGCACAAUAUCUUAACGCUAACGCAUAAGUAAUCCCCUAUACAGGGUUGUUCAUCUCAGUUUGACAUUAGAGUCCGCACCAAAGGAAGUUUGGUUUGGAUAAUUCAUCAAGGGUUCCAAAAUUUAGAACACUCAUCAACUAUGGACUAGUCGAAUCAUUAAGGGUUCGCUAGUCUAACAAGAUUCAACAGUAACUGAUAAUUUAAUUUGAAUAAAAUCUCAAAAGGUAUACAAUAGAAUAAGUAUUGUAUAACAGCAUCAUGCUUGAAAGAUUAAUAAACUUUAAUAUAACAAAACAGACUUGAUCAAUAAUAAUGAGAACUUGCUCAAUGUAGAAAGGUGAAUUUAUCAACUUAUAUAACAAUAACAAGUAGGGUUAGGAAACUUGCCUCGUGCGUAGAUUACACGUUAAUUAAACUUGUUCCUUGAUUUAAAUCCUACAUAUCAUUUACGUUCACAAUACUAGUCAAUUAUAACGUACUAAUCAUCACAAGUUCAUUCUUUUUGUUUAAACUCGAAGUAUGACUAUGUUUAGUCAAAUUACCAUACUUGUUUUCACGUAAUAUUACACUAUACGAACAACGAGCUAAUUACAUAAUCAACGAUUCAAUUGACAUGUAAAUGUCUUAUUGACAUGAUAAGAACCUAUUUUAAUAUCUCAUUAUAUGACUAAUACAUUUUUAUGUUCAUUAGAUUAGGUUACUAUUAUAGUCCCUAAUAUAAAACCAUUAAAAUGCUCGGACAAACUGCAGAGUAGCGCUGCGGCGCCACCUUAUAGUUCAUUCUCGACGCUACGGCACGGCCAGCGCUGCGGCCUGGACAAAGACGCUGCGGCGCGGUUAAUGCACCUGCAGUCGGUGCUACGGCGCGGAGAACCAGAUUAUGAACUGCAAUUCGCGAAAAAUUGCAGAACAUGGCCAAAACACCCAAUUAACAUAUUUUUGCACGAAUUUAGACGUACCCAAACAUUGUAACACACAAAUAACUAAUACUUAACCCUUCUAGCAUGGUUUUAACAAGUUUAAACACCUAAUUUGCAAAAUUAACACAUUUAAUUUCACUGUUCUUGAUGUUCUUGAAGGUUUUGAACAAAAACAUAAAAUUUAACACUACGGAAUCGUUAUAACACCAAAUUCAUCUAUUCAAGUUUUGUUUUCUUCGUUUUAGCAUGCAUAAUUGUAUAAAAAUGGGAAUUUUACAAAACAAUUUAUGUUUGACAUAUUAAAAUCAUGUAUAAGGGCCAUAUGGCCAUAUUCUAUACUCUGUAACUUAUGAAGCCAUAACAUACGUUAUAAUAUUAUGAAACUGAUGAUAUGGAUCCAUCUAAUAUAUAGGAAAACACAUUAAAACAAUAUCUUAACACAUAUAUGCACAUAAUCUUUACUCUUUCCAAUUGUUGAAUUAAACAAGAAAUUGAAAGCCAAAACUUAAACAACGUAAUUUGAAAUUUGGGGAAGAAGAAAUUACCCUUGAAUACUUUGCUUGGAUUACACAGGAUGAUAAUAAGUUAAUAACUCCCAAUUUUCCACACUUCUUCUCCUUUAAUUUCACUGAUUCUCAAACUCUCUCUCGCUCCCUCUCUGUUUUUGCGUUUCCAAACUUAGCCAAAUAAUGAAAAAGAAAGGAAGACGUAUAAUAUAAAUAAAAAUGAACUGACGCGUUGUGGAGGACAGUUACCUAUCAUGGGUAACUGCUCCCAACCUCCCUUAGUGUCAUGUUUGGCUAGCCUUAAAAGGCUUAUACCCAAUUAAUUUAAUAAAACAUUUAUAAUAUAGUUUGGAAAAUGUCACACCCCUUUAUAAAAUAAAUCCAAUAUAUUAUUUAAUUUAUUUUAAAUAAAAUAUAACAAUUUCUCAUUAA